UAACGCGUAGGUAUCUAUCCAUGGGUGGGGGAUAACGUUGGGAAACCGACGCUAAUACCGCAGGAACCGAGGCAAAGGCGCGCCUAUGGAGGAGCCUGCGUCCGAUUAGCUAGUUGGUGGGGUAACAGCCUACCAAGGCGGCGAUCGGUAGCUGGUCUGAGAGGAUGAUCAGCCACACUGGGACUGAGACACGGCCCAGACUCCUACGGGAGGCAUUAGUGGGGAAUAUUGGACAAUGGGGGCAACCCUGAUCCAGCAAUGCCGCGUGGAUGAAGAAGGUCUUCGGAUUGUAAAGUCCUUUCGGCGGGGACGAUUGACGGUACCCGCAGAAGAAGCCCCGGCUAACUUCGUGCCAGCAGCCGCGGUAAUACGAAGGGGGCUAGCGUUGCUCGGAAUGACUGGGCGUAAAGGGCGCGUAGGCGGGCGGCACAGUCAGGCGUGAAAUUCCCGGGCUUAACCUGGGGGCUGCGCUUGAUAC
rnacentral:rRNA from 1 species